AACCUAAAGAUCCUUAUGGCUCGUGCAUUGGUUAAGAAUGCAGUUAGCUGCAAGAAUGAGUGUGACUUGCAGGACACAUUUUUCGUCACUUCGAACACACUUGUGGCCCCAGGUUCCUCCUGGGGCUAUGACUGUCUCAGUGUAG
rnacentral:rRNA from 1 species